rnacentral:rRNA from 1 species
GAUGACGGCCCUAUGGGUUGUAAACUUCUUUUGCAGGGGAAUAAAGAUAUUCACGUGUGGGUAGUUGUAUGUACCCUGCGAAUAAGCAUCGGCUAACUCCGUGCCAGCAGCCGCGGUAAUACGGAGGAUGCGAGCGUUAUCCGGAUUUAUUGGGUUUAAAGGGUGCGUAGGUGGGCUAUUAAGUCAGUGGUGAAAGUUUGUCGCUCAACGAUAAAAUUGCCGUUGAAACUGGUGGUCUUGAGUAUGGAUGAAGUAGGCGGAAUGCGUGGUGUAGCGGUGAAAUGCAUAGAGAUCACGCAGAACUCCGAUUGCGAAGGCAGCUUACUAAGGCAUAACUGACACUGAAGCACGAAAGCGUGGGUAUCAAACAGGAUUAGAUACCCUGGUAGUCCACGCAGUAAACGAUGAUUACUAGGAGUUUGCGAUAUAGUGUAAGCUCUACAGCGAAAGCGUUAAGUAAUCCACCUGGGGAGUACGCCGGCAACGGUGAAACUCAAAGGAAUUGACGGGGGCCCGCACAAG